GCAAGCAAAACACCACUAAUAACCAUAGAGGGGGAAAAUAUAUAUAUAUAUAUAUACACACACACACAUAUAUAUACUUAUGCACACACACGCACAAUGUAAGCGGUGGAGGGCGCGGUUAGUGGAUCCUGGUUCUUUAGGCCGGCUCCUGCUGCAAUGGGAAUUCCCGGAGCCAUUGGGGUGGAAUAUACAGUUACGACGGAUCUAUGCGGAAAGGUCGAGCUGAUUGCUUUUCAAAUACAUCGCAGGGCUCUGCUGACCGGCACCCUCCAAACACACAAGGACACGCUCGCUACUUGCUUGAAUCCCAGAGGAGGGGGGAGGGAAAAAGGGAGGGAGCAAGGAGAGGCAGAGAGGGGGUGGGGGAGACAGCGAGCCGCGGCAGCGAGCGGUCCGUCUCGCACGCGCGGGCACCGCGCUGGUCCUGGGCUGCAGGUUUCCCAGAUGAUGGCAUCCGAGAACUUAAACAAAGGGGGACGCCGCCGGCGCAAAGCGGCUGCAGAAAGUUGCGGUGGCGGAUUUCCAAGGAGCGUGGCCACGACCCGAGCCCUUGGCGAUGCGAGCUCUCCCUUUCCCCCCCCGCCGAGACACAGACGGGGGCCGGCUGGUGAAGGAAAAAGGAAACUUUGAAACCACUGGGGAUACAUCUGCCUAUAGACUGGUAGCGAACGCCCAGUGCUGCGGAGAGAACGGCAACCUCUCGGCUGGACACUAAGAACAACUGCUGGGAAAAAAAUAAAACACCAACCCCAACCGUCAGCAACAAGGUAACAGAGCCAUUCGACCUCAUUUUUCUCCUGUUCAAUUUUUUCCUUGUUGUAUUUGUUUCCUAAUUUCUGCCCAAAAGGAAAGAUGUCGCAUCAGACUGUGACUGUUGCGAGGAGAAUGAAAAAGGACUCUUGUUUCAGAGGCAACCAAGAGCUCCGGCAAUAGCAACUUCAGAGAAAUGCACCAUCGCAAGAAGUUUUCCUAGGACAGAACAAAACUUGAAACGAGAGGACCAGAGGAGGAGAGCAGGAGCCAGCCUCUCCUCUCCGCACAGGCGAACAGCCAGCAUCACCACGCCUUCAAGGACGAAAAAAGUUUUACUACUCUAAAGGAAAACGAGUGAAAUGUGUUCCUGAGGAGGAAAGAAGAGAGCGGGCAAGGGAAGGAGCGGUCCGGUUGCUGGUCAUCCAUAAUUUGGUUAAGGAAGAAAGGAAGGGCUGCUUUCUUUGUUGUCUCCGGUGAAAUCUUCACUUAGCAGGUGGACUGAGCCCCGCACCCGGGCAGAGUCCGCACUCGCCCGAGAACAGUAGGAGAAGCGGGAGCCGGCGCGCCCCGCCAAAGAGACCGGAGCGCAGGCCCGCGCCCCGCCCGGUGAGCCCCGCUGGAGCGAGCGGAACGCGCCGGGGCUGGGGGGCGGCCACGACCCCCCCUGAAGGGGGCGGCCACGGAGCGCGCCCCGAGAAGCGAGCCCCCCUCCCCAGAGCGCUGCUCCAGCUGCUGCUGCUGCUGCUGCUGCUGCUGCUGACCAAGGCCGGCCGGCGACCCCCGCGCCCUGCCGAGCGGCCUUGCAGCUGCAGCCGGGGGCCGCGG